rnacentral:lncRNA from 1 species
AGUGCACGGACAUGCUGUUUAGCAGAGCUAUGUUGUUUGAGACUUUGUUAUGAAAAGAGAUCACAAAAAACAGCUUUGGAGCCUUAUAUCUGCCAAGUCUCUAAAAUAAUGCGUGAUAACUUGGAGAAAGCUGUUGAUUUACACCCUGCAGUGGGUUUGUGUUUUAACCAAGGUUUUGCAAUGGUUUCUAAUCUUCAUCCAAUUAUUUUUUUUUAGCCAUAACUGAGAGUGAACUUAGAAUCAUAGAAUCAUUACGGUUGAAAAAUGACCACUAAGAUCCCCAAGUCCAACCCCAGCCCACCCCAUCACCAUGCCCAUCACCACAUCACUAAGUGCCACAUCCCCAUAGUUCUGAAACACCUCCAGGGAUGAUCACACCUUCCCACCCCCACUCCUUGGGCAGCUGUGCCAGUGCAGCACUGCUCUUUUGGAGAAGUUUUCCCUAAUAUUCAACCUGAACCUCCCCUGGAGCAAUCUGAGGCCAAUCCUUCUCAUCCUCUCAACUCAGCCAUGAUCUCCCCACAGUGCCCUGUUUGAUGGUGGGCUCCCAACACUGACCUCUGUGUGAGUUCUGUCACCACACCUGUGCUCAGCCCAUGGCAAUACAAGCACUGCCUGCUGAGGAUGGAGCAGCAGUGGCACAGCACCAGGAAGCGUGCACCCGAUGUGCAGCAUCCCUGCAAGAAGGCACCGAGAGGCAAACCCAGAACCCUGCACUGAGCAGCCACAGCAGGAUGUUUCUGUGUGCUGGAUGGGCUGAAGGAGUCCUGGGAUAAAAAUAAGCGAUAAAAAGAAAUGGAGACAUCAGCCCGUGCUUCAAGACCGGAUCUGCUCACCCUAAAAUAUCAGGCUGUUGACAUUCGAAACCCAUAUUCAGAGUCUCAUUUUGCAACAAGCAAAAUCCCCCCAUCCUCGUGACAGACGCCAGGUGACAGCUUUGUGCUGAUUUCCUGCACCCCUGUGAAGGGUUUGUACCAGUUCCUCCAGGGAGGAUUUAAAGUUGUCUGUGCCAUGACACGCUUGAUGUCCACCAUCAAGAUGCCCGUGCUGGGAUGUCCGGGUCCCCAGGAGCUGCAGCUCUGUGUCCACAGCCUCCAUCACAGACAGACAUGAGGUUUUGUGGGGCUGGGAAAGAAACACUGAGGCUGGUGGUGGAGACACAGCCGGGGG